rnacentral:rRNA from 1 species
ACCGGAAACGGUAGCUAAUACCGAAUAGUUGUUUUCUUCUCCUGAAGAGAACUGGAAAGACGGAGCAAUCUGUCACUUGGGGAUGGGCCUGCGGCGCAUUAGCUAGUUGGUGGGGUAACGGCUCACCAAGGCGACGAUGCGUAGCCGACCUGAGAGGGUGAUCGGCCACACUGGGACUGAGACACGGCCCAGACUCCUACGGGAGGCAGCAGUAGGGAAUCUUCCGCAAUGGGCGAAAGCCUGACGGAGCAAUGCCGCGUGAGUGAUGAAGGUUUUCGGAUCGUAAAGCUCUGUUGCCAGGGAAGAACGCUUGGGAGAGUAACUGCUCUCAAGGUGACGGUACCUGAGAAGAAAGCCCCGGCUAACUACGUGCCAGCAGCCGCGGUAAUACGUAGGGGGCAAGCGUUGUCCGGAAUUAUUGGGCGUAAAGCGCGCGCAGGCGGUCAUUUAAGUCUGGUGUUUAAUCCCGGGGCUCAACCCCGGAUCGCACUGGAAACUGGGUGACUUGAGUGCAGAAG